rnacentral:rRNA from 1 species
UACGUAGGGUGCAAGCGUUAAUCGGAAUUACUGGGCGUAAAGCGUGCGCAGGCGGCUUUGCAAGACAGGUGUGAAAUCCCCGGGCUUAACCUGGGAACUGCAUUUGUGACUGCAAGGCUAGAGUACGGUAGAGGGGGAUGGAAUUCCGCGUGUAGCAGUGAAAUGCGUAGAGAUCGGGAGGAACACCGGUGGCGAAGGCGGGUCUCUGGGCAACUCCUGACGCUGAGGCGCGAAAGCGUGGGGAGCAAACGGG